CAGGCUUAACACAUGCAAGUCGAGGGGCAGCAUUUUAUUUUGCUUGCAAACUGAAGAUGGCGACCGGCGCACGGGUGAGUAACACGUAUCCAACCUGCCGAUAACUCCGGAAUAGCCUUUCGAAAGAAAGAUUAAUACCGGAUAGUAUACGAAUAUCGCAUGAUAUUUUUAUUAAAGAAUUUCGGUUAUCGAUGGGGAUGCGUUCCAUUAGUUUGUUGGCGGGGUAACGGCCCACCAAGACUACGAUGGAUAGGGGUUCUGAGAGGAAGGUCCCCCACAUUGGAACUGAGACACGGUCCAAACUCCUACGGGAGGCAGCAGUGAGGAAUAUUGGUCAAUGGGCGAGAGCCUGAACCAGCCAAGUAGCGUGAAGGAUGAAGGCUCUAUGGGUCGUAAACUUCUUUUAUAUGGGAAUAAAGUUUUCCACGUGUGGAAUUUUGUAUGUACCAUAUGAAUAAGGAUCGGCUAACUCCGUGCCAGCAGCCGCGGCAAUACGGAGGAUCCGAGCGUUAUCCGGAUUUAUUGGGUUUAAAGGGAGCGUAGGUGGAUUGUUAAGUCAGUUGUGAAAGUUUGCGGCUCAACCGUAAAAUUGCAGUUGAAACUGGGAGUCUUGAGUACAGUAGAGGUGGGCGGAAUUCGUGGUGUAGCGGUGAAAUGCUUAGAUAUCACGGAGAACUCCGAUUGCGAAGGCAGCUCACUAGACUGUCACUGACACUGAUGCUCGAAAGUGUGGGUAUCAAACAGGAUUAGAUACCCUGGUAGUCCACACAGUAAACGAUGAAUACUCGCUGUUUGCGAUAUACAGUAAGCGGCCAAGCGAAAGCAUUAAGUAUUCCACCUGGGGAGUACGCCGGCAACGGUGAAACUCAAAGGAAUUGACGGGGGCCCGCACAAGCGGAGGAACAUGUGGUUUAAUUCGAUGAUACGCGAGGAACCUUACCCGGGCUUAAAUUGCAACAGAAUAUAUUGGAAACAGUAUAGCCGUAAGGCUGUUGUGAAGGUGCUGCAUGGUUGUCGUCAGCUCGUGCCGUGAGGUGUCGGCUUAAGUGCCAUAACGAGCGCAACCCUUAUCUUUAGUUACUAACAGGUCAUGCUGAGGACUCUAGAGAGACUGCCGUCGUAAGAUGUGAGGAAGGUGGGGAUGACGUCAAAUCAGCACGGCCCUUACGUCCGGGGCUACACACGUGUUACAAUGGGGGGUACAGAAGGCGGCUACCUGGUGACAGGAUGCUAAUCCCAAAAACCUCUCUCAGUUCGGAUCGAAGUCUGCAACCCGACUUCGUGAAGCUGGAUUCGCUAGUAAUCGCGCAUCAGCCAUGGCGCGGUGAAUACGUUCCCGGGCCUUGUACACACCGCCCGUCAAGCCAUGAAAGCCGGGGGUACCUGAAGUACGUAACCACAAGGAGCGUCCUAGGGUAAAACUGGUAAUUG
rnacentral:rRNA from 1 species